rnacentral:rRNA from 1 species
GCAUCUUUAAUGAAUUAAAGCUUCGGUGGUAUAGGAUUGGCUCGCGUGACAUUAGCCAGAUGGUGAGGUAACGGCUCACCAUAGCAAUGAUGUCUAGGGGUUUUGAGAGGAAGGCCCCCCACACUGGGACUGAGACACGGCCCAGACUCCUACGGGAGGCAGCAGUGAGGAAUAUUGGACAAUGGCCGGAAGGCUGAACCAGCCAAGUAGCGUGCAGGAUGACUGCCUUAUGGGUUGUAAACUGCUUUUUUACGGGAAUAAUUAUGAUCACGUGUGAUUAUUUGCAUGUACCGUAAGAAUAAGGAUCGGCUAACUCCGUGCCAGCAGCCGCGGUAAUACGGAGGAUCCUAGUGUUAUCCGGAUUUAUUGGGUUUAAAGGGUGAGUAGGCGGUAGUAUAAGUCAGCGGUGAAAACUUGCAGCUCAACUGUAAGCUUGCCGUUGAAACUGUAUUACUUGAGUUAAGUUGAGGUAUGCGGAAUGUGGUGUGUAGCGGUGAAAUGCAUAGAUAUACCACAGAACGUCGAUUGCGAAGGCAGCAUACUAAGUUUAUACUGACGCUGAUGCACGAAAGCGUGGGGAUCAAACAGGAUUAGAUACCCUGGUAGUCCACGCCGUAAACUAUGAUUACUCGUUGUUUGCGAUAUACUGUAAGCGACUGCGCGAAAGCAUUAAGUAAUCCACCUGGGGAGUACGUUGGCAACAAUGAAACUCAAAGGAAUUGACGGGGGCCCGCACAAGCGGAGGAACAUGUGGUUUAAUUCGAUGAUACGCGAGGAACCUUACCUGGGCUUAAAUGGGAAGUGACAGUUUUGGAAACAAAAUUUUCUUCGGACACUUUUCAAGGUGCUGCAUGGUUGUCGUCAGCUCGUGCCGUGAGGUGUCGGGUUAAGUCCCAUAACGAGCGCAACCCUCAUCAUUAGUUACUAACAGGUUAAGCUGAGGACUCUAGUGAGACUGCCAUCGUAAGAUGCGAGGAAGGUGGGGAUGACGUCAAAUCAGCACGGCCCUUAUGUCCGGGGCGACACACGUGUUACAAUGGAUGGUACAACAGGCAGCUACUUGGCGACAAGAUGCUAAUCCCGAAAACCAUUCUCAGUUCGGAUCGAAGUCUGCAACUCGACUUCGUGAAGCUGGAUUCGCUAGUAAUCGCGCAUCAGCCACGGCGCGGUGAAUACGUUCCCGGGUCUUGUACUCACCGCCCGUCAAG